rnacentral:rRNA from 1 species
AUGCAGUCGAGCGGAAGGCCCUUUCGGGGGUACACGAGCGGCGAACGGGUGAGUAACACGUGAGUAAUCUGCCCUCCACUUGGGGAUAAGCUUCGGAAACGGGGUCUAAUACCUGAUACGACAACUACCUGCAUGGGUUGGUUGUGGAAAGUUUUUUCGGUGGGGGAUGUGCUCGCGGCCUAUCAGCUUGUUGGUGGGGUAAUGGCCUACCAAGGCUUCGACGGGUAGCCGGCCUGAGAGGGUGACCGGCCACACUGGGACUGAGACACGGCCCAGACUCCUACGGGAGGCAGCAGUGGGGAAUAUUGGACAAUGGGCGGAAGCCUGAUCCAGCAACGCCGCGUGAGGGAUGACGGCCUUCGGGUUGUAAACCUCUUUCAGUACCGACGAAGUGCCCGUUGUGGGUGGUGACGGUAGGUACAGAAGAAGCACCGGCCAACUACGUGCCAGCAGCCGCGGUAAUACGUAGGGUGCGAGCGUUGUCCGGAAUUAUUGGGCGUAAAGGGCUCGUAGGCGGUUUGUCGCGUCGGGAGUGAAAACACCGGGCUUAACUCGGUGCUUGCUUUCGAUACGGGCAGACUAGAGGUAUGCAGGGGAGAACGGAAUUCCUGGUGUAGCGGUGAAAUGCGCAGAUAUCAGGAGGAACACCGGUGGCGAAGGCGGUUCUCUGGGCAUUACCUGACGCUGAGGAGCGAAAGUGUGGGGAGCGAACAGGAUUAGAUACCCUGGUAGAAUCACUAGUGAAUUC